UACGAAGGGGGCUAGCGUUGUUCGGAAUCACUGGGCGUAAAGCGCACGUAGGCGGAUCUUUAAGUCAGGGGUGAAAUCCCGAGGCUCAACCUCGGAACUGCCUUUGAUACUGGGGAUCUCGAGUCCGGGAGAGGUGAGUGGAACUGCGAGUGUAGAGGUGAAAUUCGUAGAUAUUCGCAAGAACACCAGUGGCGAAGGCGGCUCACUGGCCCGUUACUGACGCUGAGGCACGAAAGCGUGGGGAGCAAACAGG
rnacentral:rRNA from 1 species